rnacentral:lncRNA from 1 species
AAUUAACCUCUGUAGCGAACGGUAGGUUCCAGAAAUGGUUAGUCCCGUAACUAUCUCCUAAUAUAUGUAAUAACAACCUAAUGAACAUCCGAAGAUUGUCUAAUUAACCUAUGUGGUGAACAGUAGGUUCCAGGAAUGGUUAGUCCUGUAACUGUCUCCUAAUAUAUGUAAUAACAACCCAAUGAACAUCCGAAGAUUGUCCAAUUAACCUCUGUGGCGAACAGUAGGUUCCAGGAAUGGUUAGUCCCGUAACUGACUCUACAUUGCUAUAAGCGAAAUAGAUAACCUUAUGAACAUCCGAAGAUUGUCCAAUUAACCUCUAUAGCGAACAAUAGGUUCCAGGAAUGGUUAGUCCCGUAACUGACUCCCGUUGAACUGGGAUGGGCUGGAAUGAUUUACUGAAGGUACUAAUAAAUCAUCGUUACAAAUCGAGUUUCAAGUAUUCAUGUAAGUAUACAUAGGUAAUUGUAUUUACGUAAAGGUACUCAUGUAAUGUGUUCUUGUAAGCGUAUUCAUGUAUCAUGUAAGCAUAUGUAAAGGUACUCAUGUAUCAGGUAAUGUACUAGUAAAGACUCAUGAAUG